rnacentral:rRNA from 1 species
ACUGAUGAGCUUGAAUACACCAAGUCCCAUUGUAUCCUGGAAGCUCAGCAGAGUUGAACCCUGUUUGUAUUUGGAUGGAAGACAUUCAUGGAAGAGCUAGCUCAUUU